rnacentral:rRNA from 1 species
CUCGCUGGGUGGAUUAGUGGCGAACGGGUGAGUAACACGUGAGUAACCUGCCCCUGACUCUGGGAUAAGCGUUGGAAACGACGUCUAAUACUGGAUAUGAUCACUGGCCGCAUGGUCUGGUGGUGGAAAGAUUUUUUGGUUGGGGAUGGACUCGCGGCCUAUCAGCUUGUUGGUGAGGUAAUGGCUCACCAAGGCGACGACGGGUAGCCGGCCUGAGAGGGUGACCGGCCACACUGGGACUGAGACACGGCCCAGACUCCUACGGGAGGCAGCAGUGGGGAAUAUUGCACAAUGGGCGAAAGCCUGAUGCAGCAACGCCGCGUGAGGGAUGACGGCCUUCGGGUUGUAAACCUCUUUUAGUAGGGAAGAAGCGAAAGUGACGGUACCUGCAGAAAAAGCACCGGCUAACUACGUGCCAGCAGCCGCGGUAAUACGUAGGGUGCAAGCGUUGUCCGGAAUUAUUGGGCGUAAAGAGCUCGUAGGCGGUUUGUCGCGUCUGCUGUGAAAUCCCGAGGCUCAACCUCGGGCUUGCAGUGGGUACGGGCAGACUAGAGUGCGGUAGGGGAGAUUGGAAUUCCUGGUGUAGCGGUGGAAUGCGCAGAUAUCAGGAGGAACACCGAUGGCGAAGGCAGAUCUCUGGGCCGUAACUGACGCUGAGGAGCGAAAGCAUGGGGAGCGAACAGGAUUAGAUACCCUGG